rnacentral:rRNA from 1 species
AUUGAACGCUGGCGGCAGGCCUAACACAUGCAAGUCGAACGGUAACAGGAAGAAGCUUGCUUCUUUGCUGACGAGUGGCGGGCGGGUGAGUCAUGUCUGGGAAACUGCCUGAUGGAGGGGGAUAACUACUGGAAACGGUAGCUAAUACCGCAUAACGUCGCAAGACCAAAGAGGGUGGCAUUCGGGCCUCUUGCCAGCGGAUGUGCCCAGAUGGGAUUAGCUAGUAGGUGGGGUAAGGGCUCACCUAGGCGACGAUCCCUAGCUGGUCUGAGAGGAUGACCGGCGACACUGGAACUGAGACACGGUCCAGACUCCUACGGGAGGCAGCAGUGGGGAAUAUUGCACAAUGGGCGCAAGCCUGAUGCAGCGAUGCCGAGUGUAUGAAGAAGGCCUUCGGGUUGUAAAGUCCUUUCAGCGGGGAGGAAGGGAGUACAGUUAAUACCUUUGCUCAUUGACGUUAACCGCAGAAGAAGCACCGGCUAACUCCGUG